UACGGAGGGUGCAAGCGUUAUCCGGAUUUACUGGGUUUAAAGGGUGCGUAGGCGGCUAGGUAAGUCUGUGGUGAAAUCUCCGGGCUUAACCCGGAAUCUGCCAUUGAUACUAUUUGUCUUGAAUACUUUGGAGGUAAGCGGAAUAUGUCAUGUAGCGGUGAAAUGCUUAGAUAUGACAUAGAACACCAAUGGCGAAGGCAGCUUACUACACAGUAAUUGACACUGAGGCACGAAAGCGUGGGGAUCAAACAGG
rnacentral:rRNA from 1 species